GUCCAGACUCCUACGGGAGGCAGCAGUGGGGAAUAUUGCACAAUGGGGGAAACCCUGAUGCAGCGACGCCGCGUGAGUGAAGAAGUAUCUCGGUAUGUAAAGCUCUAUCAGCAGGGAAGAAAAUGACGGUACCUGACUAAGAAGCCCCGGCUAACUACGUGCCAGCAGCCGCGGUAAUACGUAGGGGGCAAGCGUUAUCCGGAUUUACUGGGUGUAAAGGGAGCGUAGACGGCGCUGCAAGUCCGGAGUGAAAGCCCAUGGCUUAACCGCGGGACUGCAUUGGGAACUACCGGGCUGGAGUGCCGGAGAGGUAGGCGGAAUUCCUAGUGUAGCGGUGAAAUGCGUAGAUAUUAGGAGGAACACCAGUGGCGAAGGCGGCCUACUGGACGGUGACUGACGCUGAGGCUCGAAAGCGUGGGGAGCAAACAGGAUUAGAUACCCUCGUAC
rnacentral:rRNA from 1 species